ensembl:lncRNA
AUGUUUCUCACAUGCAGAAAGUGUAGAAAAACUGAUCAAAAAGUUCAGACUCCUGAAGAGAUCAUUUACAUUGAGCCAACAUUCAACAACAGAAAAGUGCAUAAAACAGUAAGAUUUAUUCCAAAGAAUGUUAGAGAGGAGGCUCAAGUAGAGUAUGCACUGAUCGCCAUGAGAAGAUAAAAUAUACCAGACCUGUAAAAUCCUGCGACAACCAUUACAACUCCUGUGACAAGUUCUUUCAAACUUGUAGUUGAGUUUUGGGAUUGUUGACAAUCACUGCACAUGUAGUAGCUUCCUAAAGUCCUGUUCACACCGGCAGUGACUGAAACCACCUUUGUGCUCUCUCUGACAAAUGACAGACCUGUAUGCAGAAUUUUUGGACUUUGAAAUAUUUACUGAGUGAAUUCAGACAUACUUCUUUUGUCACAUAGCAGGGAAGUACGCGAUUUUGGAUGCUACCAUUCACUUCCAAAAAUCCAUGUUUUUAUACCAGUAAAAAGUAUUUUCUUG